rnacentral:rRNA from 1 species
GAUGAACGCUGGCGGCGUGCCUAACACAUGCAAGUCGAGCGAUUUACUUCGGUAAAGAGCGGCGGACGGGUGAGUAACGCGUGGGUAACCUGCCCUAUACACACGGAUAACAUACCGAAAGGUAUGCUAAUACGAGAUAAUAUAAGAGAUUCGCAUGGAUUUCUUAUCAAAGCUGAGGCGGUAUAGGAUGGACCCGCGUCUGAUUAGCUAGUUGGUAAGGUAACGGCUUACCAAGGCGACGAUCAGUAGCCGACCUGAGAGGGUGAUCGGCCACAUUGGAACUGAGACACGGUCCAAACUCCUACGGGAGGCAGCAGUGGGGAAUAUUGCACAAUGGGCGAAAGCCUGAUGCAGCAACGCCGCGUGAGUGAUGAAGGCCUUCGGGUCGUAAAACUCUGUCCUCAAGGAAGAUAAUGACGGUACUUGAGGAGGAAGCCCCGGCUAACUACGUGCCAGCAGCCGCCGUAACAC